rnacentral:rRNA from 1 species
GAUGAACGCUGGCGGCGUGCCUAAUACAUGCAAGUCCAGCGAACAGACGAGGAGCUUGCUCCUCUGACGUUAGCGGCGGACGGGUGAGUAACACGUAGAUAACCUACCUAUAAGACUGGGAUAACUUCGGGAAACCGGAGCUAAUACCGGAUAAUAUAUUGAACCGCAUGGUUCAAUAGUGAAAGACGGUUUUGCUGUCACUUAUAGAUGGAUCCGCGCCGCAUUAGCUAGUUGGUAAGGUAACGGCUUACCAAGGCAACGAUGCGUAGCCGACCUGAGAGGGUGAUCGGCCACACUGGAACUGAGACACGGUCCAGACUCCUACGGGAGGCAGCAGUAGGGAAUCUUCCGCAAUGGGCGAAAGCCUGACGGAGCAACGCCGCGUGAGUGAUGAAGGUCUUCGGAUCGUAAAACUCUGUUAUUAGGGAAGAACAAAUGUGUAAGUAACUAUGCACGUCUUGACGGUACCUAAUCAGAAAGCCACGGCUAACUACGU